rnacentral:lncRNA from 1 species
AUUUAUCUCACACAAAUAUUAAGCAUGUUUAACUUGCAUAUGGAAUGCAGAAAUAUCAGCCAUAUAUUACUAUAAAAGUCUAUCAUAUUCAUGGAUGUUGAUACCAAGAGUUUAACUACAGUAGACACCAGUGCUCCAGUCAAAGAACUAUUGGCUAAACAAAUCAUUCUACCUUGAUUUGAGAAAAAAUAUUCUUAAACUCUUAGGUGAAUUGUUUCACCUAAUAUCACCUAAUAGAGAAUAUUUUAAUGCUGAGAACAAGAAGGAUGAGAAUACUUGACCAUGUUCUAAACCCAAAAUAAAGUGCAAUGAUGUUUCCCAAUUUAGCUGUUUAGUUUUAAGUUGAAGGGAUAGAAUAUAUCAAUGUGUUUUCAUGUCCAAAACAGAAACUACCUGACACCUAAAAGAUAAAAAAGGGCUGGCCACAUACAUACAGCGUGUCUAAGUGUCCUAAGAGGCAGUCGCAACCAGAACAAGCAGCAUAGUCUUCUGCCAUAUUAUAUUUAUGCUACUCGAAGCCUAGCUACCUUCUCUUUCAGUUUGCAAAUAGUUAUAAUGGUGAUUGGGUAGCAAAUAAUAUUUCACAGCAAAAUGAUCUAUGAGGUCACAUUUUCUAAAUUUAACAAAAGAAUAUCAGAAUUGUUGCCUAAAAAUUAACUUAUGGGACAAGGAAAUAGAUCUUGAGUGCUGAUCUGCACCUCUAGUAUCUAUUAUGCCACUUAUGCAGAAACCUCUAGUUGACCACUGCCAGAAGAUCAGGGGAGUACAGAGUCCAAUAUUCUACAGUGUCAUAUGUUAGCAAAGUUCUGCUAGUGAAAUCAGGUAGUGUAAAUACAAACUCACUUUAUCAUUUCAGUUGAUCCUAGUCAUGAAGGUCCAGGAGAAAAAGCACAAGCAUUACUAAAAGGUAUUCCUUGGUAAAUCUAGCAAAUGUUCUCAUGCAAGCACCUUUAUAGUAUUCAAUUUUCUAUGAUGUUUAUUACAACAGGAAGCUAGUAUAGUUAGAGGCUGAGGUCAAUGAUGGUCACAUCUGAAAUCAUUAAACUGCUACUGAUCUAGAGAGGUGUUUAUUUCAUGGUAUGAAACUAGAGUCAAAAUCAUUUCAGGCAACUGAGUCAUAAGGGAAAGAGUGUCAACUGACACUCAUGAAACACCGUGUUAGACUAAAUAUGAUAGUUUCCUUGACACAACUUCAAUAGUGUCCUAAGAGGCAGAAACACCGUGUUAGAAUAUAUCAAUGUGUUUUCAUGUCCAAAACAGAAACUACCUGACAACUAAAAGAUAAAAAAGGGCUGGCCACAUACAUACAAAGUUUCUAAGUGUCCUAAGAGGCAGUCGCAACCAGAACAAGCAGCAUAGUCUUCUGCCAUAUUAUAUUUAUGCUACUCAAAGCCUAGCUACCUUCUCUUUCAGUUUGCAAAUAGUUAUAAUGGUGGUUGGGUAGCAAAUAAUAUUUCACAGCAAAAUGAUCUAUGAGGUCACAUUUUCUAAAUUUAACAAAAGAAUAUCAGAAUUGUUGCCUAAAAAUUAACUUAUGGGACAAGGAAAUAGAUCUUGAGUGCUGAUCUGCACCUCUAGUAUCUAUUAUGCCACUUAUGCAGAAACCUCUAGUUGACCACUGCCAGAAGAUCAGGGGAGUACAGAGUCCAAUAUUCUACAGUGUCAUAUGUUAGCAAAGUUCUGCUAGUGAAAUCAGGUAGUGUAAAUACAAACUCACUUUAUCAUUUCGGUUGAUCCUAAUCAUGAAGGUCCAGGAGAAAAAGCACAAGCAUUACUAAAAGGUAUUCCUUGGUAAAUCUAGCAAAUGUUCUCAUGCAGGCACCUUUAUAUUAUUCAAUUUUGUAUGAUGUUUAUUACAAUAGGAAGCUAGUAUAGUUAGAGGCUGAGGUCAAUGAUGGUCACAUCUGAAAUCAUUAAACUGCUACUGAUCUAGAGAGGUGUUUAUUUCAUGGUAUGAAACUAGAGUCAAAAUCAUUUCAGGCAACUGAGUCAUAAGGGAAAGAGUGUCAACUGAUACUCAUGAAACACCGUGUUAGACUAAAUAUGAUAGUUUCUUUGACACAACUUCAAUAGUGUCCUAAGAGGCAGAAACACCAUGUUAGAAUAUAUCAGUGUGUUUUCAUGUCCAAAACAGAAACUACCUGACACCUAAAAGAUAAAAAAGGGCUGGCCACAUACAUACAGCGUUUCUUAGUGUCCUAAGAGGCAGUCGCAACCAGAACAAGCAGCAUAGUCUUCUGCCAUAUUAUAUUUAUGCUACUCAAAGCCUAGCUACCUUCUCUUUCAGUUUGCAAAUAGUUAUAAUGGUGAUUGGGUAGCAAAUAAUAUUUCACAGCAAAAUGAUCUAUGAGGUCACAUUUUCUAAAUUUAACAAAAGAAUAUCAGAAUUGUUGCCGAAAAAUUAACUUAUG